rnacentral:tRNA from 1 species
GCGCCUGUAGCUCAGCUUGGAUAGAGCAGUCGGUUCCUAACCGAAAGAUCCGGGGUUCAAAUCCUCGCAGGCGCG